CUUGCGCUGAUAUUACAUUGAAAUCCCCGUUUCCCAUACGAUCACCGAAGUUAAGCAACGUCGACCUUGGUCAGUACCAAGAUGGGUGACUACC